UUGAGACUCCGAUUACAUCAAGCCCCUUGAUCGCUUGGUACCUGUCCAACCUCCCAGCCUACAGGACGGCUGUGAACCCACUCCUCAGGGGUAUCGAGGUGGGUCUGGCCCACGGCUUCCUCCUGGUCGGUCCAUUCGUUAUAACUGGCCCUCUAAGGAACACACCUGUUGCAGGUCAAGCUGGGUCCCUGGCAGCUGCUGGUCUUGUUGUGAUCCUCAGCAUUUGCUUGACAAUGUAUGGCACUGCAUCAUUCAAUGAAGG
rnacentral:lncRNA from 1 species